rnacentral:rRNA from 1 species
UACGUAGGGUGCGAGCGUUAAUCGGAAUUACUGGGCGUAAAGCGUGCGCAGGCGGUUUUGUAAGUCUGUCGUGAAAUCCCCGGGCUUAACCUGGGAAUGGCGAUGGAGACUGCAAGGCUGGAAUCUGGCAGAGGGGGGUAGAAUUCCACGUGUAGCAGUGAAAUGCGUAGAGAUGUGGAGGAACACCGAUGGCGAAGGCAGCCCCCUGGGCUAAGAUUGACGCUCAUGCACGAAAGCGUGGGGAGCAAACAGG